GUAGUUAGCCGUGGCUUCCUCGUCAGGUACCGUCAAUACACCAGGCUAUUCGCAAGGUGCACCUUCGUCCCUGACAACAGAGUUUUACAGUCCGAAAACCUUCAUCACUCACGCGGCGUUGCUCCGUCAGACUUUCGUCCAUUGCGGAAGAUUCCCCACUGCUGCCUCCCGUAGGAGUCUGGACCGUGUCUCAGUUCCAGUGUGGCCGAUCAGCCUCUCAGCUCGGCUACCCAUCGUCGGCUUGGUGAGCCGUUACCUCACCAACUACCUAAUGGGACGCGAACCCCUCUUAAAGCGGAUUGCUCCUUUGACCUCAUCCCGAUGUCGGGUCGUGGUCUUAUGCGGUAUUAGCACUUGUUUCCAGGUGUUAUCCCCCUCUUCAAGGCAGGUUGUUCACGCGUUACUCACCCGUUCGCCACUAAGAUAAAACCGAAAUUCUAUCUCCGUUCGACUUGCAUGUGUUAGGCACGCCGCCAGCGUUCGUCCUGAGCAGANACAACUACUGA
rnacentral:rRNA from 1 species